rnacentral:rRNA from 1 species
AUUGAACGCUGGCGGCAUGCCUUACACAUGCAAGUCGAACAGCAGCACGGACUUCGGUCUGGUGGCGAGUGGCGAACGGGUGAGUAAUAUAUCGGAACAUACCUUGUAGUGGGGGAUAACUAUCCGAAAGGAUAGCUAAUACCGCAUACGCUCUAAGGAGGAAAGCGGGGGAUCGUAAGACCUCGUGCUAUACGAGUGGCCGAUAUCUGAUUAGCUAGUUGGUGAGGUAAAGGCUCACCAAGGCUACGAUCAGUAGCUGGUCUGAGAGGGCGACCAGCCACACUGGAAGUGAGACACGGUCCAGACUCCUACGGGAGGCAGCAGCGGGGAAUUUUGGACAAUGGGGGCAACCCUGAUUCAGCAAUGCCGCGUGAGUGAAGAAAGCCUUCGGGUUGUAAAGCUCUGUUGUCAAGGAAGAAACGGUUGUGACUAAUAUCCAUGGCAAAUGACGGUACCUGAAGAAUAAGCACCGGCUAACUACGUGCCAGCAGCCGCGGUAA